GAUGAACGCUGGCGGCAUGCCUAACACAUGCAAGUCGAACGGAGAACAUGAUUUCGGUUGUGUUCUGAGUGGCGCACGGGUGAGUAACACGUAACUGAUCUGCCCCGGAGAGCGGGAUAACGCACCGAAAGGUGUGCUAAUACCGCAUAAGCUCACGAUGUUUAGAAAGUUGUGAGAAAAGGUUCAGGCGCUCCGGGAUGAGGUUGCGGCCCAUCAGCUAGUUGGUGAGGUAAAAGCUUACCAAGGCGACGACGGGUAGGGGGCCUGAGAGGGUGACCCCCCACACUGGGACUGAGACACGGCCCAGACUCCUACGGGAGGCAGCAGUGAGGAAUAUUGCUCAAUGGGCGAAAGCCUGAAGCAGCGAUGCCGCGUGGGUGAUGAAGGCUUUCGGGUCGUAAAGCCCUUUUCUCGGUGAAGAGGAAGGACGGUAACCGAGGAAUAAGUGUCGGCUAACUACGUGCCAGCAGCCGCGGUAAAACGUAGGACACAAGCGUUAUCCGGAAUUACUGGGCGUAAAGCGCGUGCAGGCGGAUUACCAAGUCAUGUGUGAAAGCUCCUGGCUAAACUGGGAGAGUGCAGAUGAGACUGGUAGUCUGGAGGGCGUCAGAGGAGUGUGGAAUUCCGCGUGUAGUGGUGAAAUGCGUAGAGAUGCGGAGGAACACCAGUGGCGAAGGCGGCACUCUGGGGCGCACCUGACGCUGAGGCGCGAAAGCAUGGGUAGCGAACGGGAUUAGAAACCCCGGUAGUCCAUGCCGUAAACGAUGUACACUAAACGUUCGUGCUGCGAAAGCAGUGUGAGUGUUGAAGCUAACGCGAUAAGUGUACCGCCUGGGGAGUACGGUCGCAAGGCUAAAACUCAAAGGAAUUGACGGGGGCCCGCACAAGCAGCGGAGCGUGUGGUUUAAUUCGAGGCUACGCGAAGAACCUUACCUAGGUUUGACAUUGCAAUGAACAAGGGUGAAAGCCUGAGGUCCCUUCGGGGCAUUGUGACAGGUGCUGCAUGGCUGUCGUCAGCUCGUGUCGUGAGAUGUUCGGUUAAGUCCGAAAACGAGCGCAACCCCUGGUUUCAGUUACAAGUGUCUGAAACGACUGCCCGCGGCAAGCGGGAGGAGGGUGGGGAUGAUGUCAAGUCAGCAUGGCCUUUAUAUCUAGGGCUACACACACGCUACAAUGGCGCGUACAGUGGGUCGCGAAGCCGCGAGGUGGAGCCAAUCCUAAAAAGCGCGUCGUAGUUCGGAUUGUAGGCUGCAACUCGCCUGCAUGAAGCCGGAGUUGCUAGUAACCGCAGGUCAGCACACUGCGGUGAAUACGUUCCCGGGCCUUGUACACACCGCCCGUCACGUCAUGGGAGCUGGUCACGCCUGAAGUCGGGAAGCUAACCGCAAGGAGGCUACCGCCGAAGGCAGGGUUGGUGACUGGGACG
rnacentral:rRNA from 1 species